GAUGAACGCUAGCUACAGGCUUAACACAUGCAAGUCGAGGGACCGGCGCACGGGUGAGUAACACGUAUCCAACCUGCCCUUUACUCGGGGAUAGCCUUUCGCAAGAAUGAUUAAUACCCGAUAUAAAGGAUGGGGAUGCGUUCCAUUAGGUUGUUGGUGAGGUAACGGCUCACCAAGCCUGCGAUGGAUAGGGGUUCUGCGAGGAAGGUCCACCACAUGGGAACUGAGGCACGGUCCAAACUCGUACGCAAGGCAGCAGUAAGUAAUAUUGGGCAAUGAGCGCUAGCAUGAACCAGCCAAGUGUGGGGAAAGAUGAAGGGUUAUGGGACGUAAACCUCUGUUAUAGAAGGAUAGGUAUUAUCAGAAGAAGGAUCGGCUAACUCCGUGCCAGCAGCCGCGGUAAUAC
rnacentral:rRNA from 1 species